UUGGAGGGCAAGUCUGGUGCCAGCAGCCGCGGUAAUUCCAGCUCCAAUAGCGUAUAUUAAAGUUGUUGCAGUUAAAAAGCUCGUAGUUGAAUUUCGGGGUUCUACCGUUGGUCGGGCUAUUGUCUGUACUGGCGUGUAGAAUUUCUACCUUCUGGGGAACUAUCAUGUUAUUAAUUUAGCGUGGUAGGAAACCAGGACCUUUACCUUGAAAAAAUUAGAGUGUUCAAAGCAGGCUUAUGUCUGAAUACAUUAGCAUGGAAUAAUAAAAUAGGACGGUGGUCCUGUUUUGUUGGUUUCUGAAUCACCGUAAUGAUUAAUAGGGAUAGUUGGGGGCAUUAGUAUUCAAUUGUCAGAGGUGAAAUUCUUGGAUUUAUUGAAGACUAACUACUGCGAAAGCAUUUGCCAAGGAUGUUUUCAUUAAUCAAGAACGAAAGUUAGGGGGUCGAAGACGAUCAGAUACCGUCGUAGUCUUAACCAUAAACUAUGCCGACUAGGGAUCGGACGAUGUUAACUUUUCUUGACUCGUUCGGCGCCUUACGGGAAA
rnacentral:rRNA from 1 species